UACGUAGGGUGCGAGCGUUAAUCGGAAUUACUGGGCGUAAAGCGUGCGCAGGCGGCUUUGCAAGACAUAUGUGAAAUCCCCGGGCUCAACCUGGGAACUGCAUUUGUGACUGCAAGGCUAGAGUACGGCAGAGGGGGAUGGAAUUCCGCGUGUAGCAGUGAAAUGCGUAGAUAUGCGGAGGAACACCAAUGGCGAAGGCAAUCCCCUGGGCCUGUACUGACGCUCAUGCACGAUAUCGUGGGGAGCAAACAGG
rnacentral:rRNA from 1 species